AAGAGACGCUUGACCUUCGGGGAUAUACCUCCCAACCUUUGUUUAUUAUACCUUUGUUGCUUUGGCGGGCCCGUCCUCGGACCACCGGCUUCUGCUGGUCAGUGCCCGCCAGAGGACCUAAAACUCUGUUUGUUAAUAUUGUCUGAGUACUAUAUAAUAGUUU
rnacentral:misc_RNA from 1 species